AAGAAGCCAAAAUCCAGAAGGUGUAAAUGGAAAAAGAAACAUUUAAGAAUCUAUUAAAUAUCAACAAUUCAGUUGUUUUAAACAAGGAAAUGGCAAAGUACGUAAUAUUGUUGCAUAGCAUUUUCACAAGGGCAAAUAAGAAUCUAUUAAAUUGAGCCUACAAGGCAAAGGAUGCAUAUGAGUUACUGUUAGUAGACAGACCUUGCUCAUUUAUAAACGCUCAAUCAUAGAAAGAAGAAAGGGAUGCAGGUUACCAAGAUCAAUCACAUUAGAGAUUUUGACAAGUAUAAUUUUGACAAUUCAAUUAUUUCCCAUUCCCAUUUGUUCUUUACCCAACAGCCCAUAUUUAACAUCAACACAUCUAGGUUAGCUGCUACAUUUAAUAGUCUGCUAAAGGAGAAUUUGAGAGCAAUAUUACCAACCGAUCGUCUCUCAUUCCAAAGUUUCAUUUUCAUCUCAUUCCCCACAGCAAAUCUGAUAUGAAUUAAAGGAGAGAAGUAAGAGUUCAUCGAAAGUAGCAUGGCCUCGAAUGUCUUUCUGAAGGGAAGAAAUGCAAUUUCCUGGAGCAAGAGAGAUACCCUUCUCCAAAUUGAAAGAAUAUUUGGAUAAAAGUUGAACUUAGAGCGAAUCCCUAUGAUUUUCAAAUCUCCAAAGCCAUUUGAACAAAAGAGCUUGAAUUUGAAGAGAGAUCUCUUUCAUGCCUAAGCCUCCAUUCUUUUUAGGCAACAAAAGAGUAUUCCAUUUAAUCAGAUGAAGUUUCUUUGUAUUGACAUUUU
rnacentral:lncRNA from 1 species